rnacentral:lncRNA from 1 species
AGUUGUGAUCAAAGCUGGACCUUUUCAGAGAAGGUCUCGAAUCCUGAAGACAGACUUCGAGGGGAUGAUGCAGCAAGAAGACCCACACCAGAUGAGGGCGCCUUGAUAUUGGAUUUCCCAGCCUCCAGAACUCGGGUAUUGCAGCAAAUCCUGGACUGCAGCCAGAAGCUCUGGUCUCUACAUCAGCUUCUCCAUUUGAAACAUCUCAGAAUUUGAAUUUUGACUACUCUGGUGUUAACAUCAAAAUGCAUUUCAUGGGCCGGGCCUGGUGGCUCACGCCU